rnacentral:misc_RNA from 1 species
AAUUGUUCAUCAGGAAAAGUAAGGUCACUUCCUUAGAUAUCUAGCUGCUCAGUUUAUCCACUAGGGAGAGAAGCAAAAUCUUGUGCUAUUGCUCUUAGUGGCUCUAUCUUAGAAUGAGCCAUGGCAAUAACAGUAUGCGUAUUUUCAUGACUUAGUCAUUUAUUGAGUAUAACAUGCUACACAUGAUUGGUGAUAUAUACUCUUAUACUAUUUGACUUGUGUGGCAUAACUUUUAAUAACAUUUGUGUGUGUGUGUGUAAGCAUUACACAUUUCCGAGG